rnacentral:rRNA from 1 species
GACGAACGCUGGCGGCGUGCUUAACACAUGCAAGUCGAACGGAAAGGCCCUGCUUGCAGGGUACUCGAGUGGCGAACGGGUGAGUAACACGUGGGUGAUCUGCCCUGCACUUCGGGAUAAGCCUGGGAAGCUGGGUCUAAUACCGGAUAGGAGCCAUUUUUAGUGUGAUGGUUGGAAAGUUUUUUCGGUGUAGGAUGAGCUCGCGGCCUAUCAGCUUGUUGGUGGGGUAAUGGCCUACCAAGGCGGCGACGGGUAGCCGGCCUGAGAGGGUGGACGGCCACAUUGGGACUGAGAUACGGCCCAGACGCCGACGGGAGGCAGCAGGGGGGAAUAUUGCACAAUGGGCGCAAGCCGGAUGCAGCGACGCCGCGUGGGGGAUGACGGCCUUCGGGUUGUAAACUCCUUUCGCUAGGGACGAAGCUUUUUGUGACGGUACCUAGAGAAGAAGCACCGGCUAACUACGUG